rnacentral:rRNA from 1 species
AGUUUAUACCGUAGCUUGCUACACCAUAGACUGUGAGUUGCGAACGGGUGAGUAACGCGUAGGUAACCUGCCUGGUAGCGGGGGAUAACUAUUGGAAACGAUAGCUAAUACCGCAUAAUAUUAAUUAUUGCAUGAUAAUUGAUUGAAAGGUGCAAUUGCACCACUACCAGAUGGACCUGCGUUGUAUUAGCUAGUAGGUGAGGUAACGGCUCACCUAGGCGACGAUACAUAGCCGACCUGAGAGGGUGAUCGGCCACACUGGGACUGAGACACGGCCCAGACUCCUACGGGAGGCAGCAGUAGGGAAUCUUCGGCAAUGGACGAAAGUCUGACCGAGCAACGCCGCGUGAGUGAAGAAGGUUUUCGGAUCGUAAAGCUCUGUUGUAAGAGAAGAACGGGUGUGAGAGUGGAAAGUUCACACUGUGACGGUAUCUUACCAGAAAGGGACGGCUAACUACGUGCCAGCAGCCGCGGUAAUACGUAGGUCCCGAGCGUUGUCCGGAUUUAUUGGGCGUAAAGCGAGCGCAGGCGGUUAGAUAAGUCUGAAGUUAAAGGCUGUGGCUUAACCAUAGUACGCUUUGGAAACUGUUUAACUUGAGUGCAGAAGGGGAGAGUGGAAUUCCAUGUGUAGCGGUGAAAUGCGUAGAUAUAUGGAGGAACACCGGUGGCGAAAGCGGCUCUCUGGUCUGUAACUGACGCUGAGGCUCGAAAGCGUGGGGAGCGAACAGGAUUAGAUACCCUGGUAGUCCACGCCGUAAACGAUGAGUGCUAGGUGUUAGGCCCUUUCCGGGGCUUAGUGCCGCAGCUAACGCAUUAAGCACUCCGCCUGGGGAGUACGACCGCAAGGUUGAAACUCAA